rnacentral:tRNA from 2 species
CGGGGUGUAGCGCAGCUUGGUAGCGCAUCUGCUUUGGGAGCAGAGGGUCGCUGGUUCAAAUCCAGUCACCCCGACCA